rnacentral:rRNA from 1 species
GACGAACGCUGGCGGCGUGCUUAACACAUGCAAGUCGAACGGCAAGGCCCUGCUUUUUUGGGGUGCUCGAGUGGCGAUCGGGUGCGUAACACGUGAGUAACCUGCUCUUGAUUUUCGGAUAACUUCAGGAAACUGGGGCUACUAUCGGACAGGAUCUCCUGCUGCGUGGUGGGGGUUGGAACGUUGAGGCGGGUGGGGUUGGACUCGCGGGUUAGCAGCUUGUUGGUGGGGUAGUUGCUUACCCAGGCUUUGACGGGUAGCCGGCCUGGGAGGGUGGACGGCCACAUUGGGCCUGAGAGACGGCGCAGAGGCCUACGGGGGGCAGCAGGGGGGAGUAUGGCACAAUGGGAGGAAGCCUGAUGCAGCAGCGCCGCGGGCGGGAUGACGGCCUUCGGGGUGUAAACCGCUGUCGCUUGAGACGAAGCGGGAGUGACGGUAAUGGGUAAAUAAGCACCGGCUAACUACGUG